rnacentral:rRNA from 1 species
CCUACGGGAGGCAGCAGUGGGGAAUAUUGCACAAUGGGGGAAACCCUGAUGCAGCGACGCCGCGUGAGUGAAGAAGUAAUUCGUUAUGUAAAGCUCUAUCAGCAGGGAAGAAAAUGACGGUACCUGAGUAAGAAGCCCCUGCUAACUACGUGACAGCAGCCGCGGUAAUACGUAGGGGGCAAGCGUUAUCCGGAUUUACUGGGUGGAAAGGGAGCGUAGACGGCAGUGCAAGUCUGGAGUGAAAGGCGGGGGCUCAACCCCCGGACUGCUCUGGAAACUGUACGGCUGGAGUGCAGGAGAGGUAAGUGGAAUUCCUAGUGUAGCGGUGAAAUGCGUAGAUAUUAGGAGGAACACCAGUGGCGAAGGCGGCUUACUGGACUGUAACUGACGUUGAGGCUCGAAAGCGUGGGGAGCAAACAGGAUUAGAUACCCCUGUAGUC